CAUUCAUCGGGGUUUUUGUUUUUUGCUGCUUACGAGCCGCGACAAAUGGCCACAAAUCCUUGCAUUUGGGUCCGGUCAUCCCAUGGAGCUCGAUCGCCUAUGUUUUAGCAAUGGGCUCUGAAAGCUUGAAGAACUGGGCACGGUGCGCGCAGUGGGCAGUGGGCACCGGCGCAAGAUUCAUACAGCACCAGCAGAGCCAAGGGCGGAGCGAAGACUUCUCGUCGAGAACUCUGGACCGACCUUCAUAGUGGAAUGGGACCUCGUGGUGCCGAGGCGAAACCUUGCACCGUCGCAAGUGGCACUAGCAAGCACGCCUCAACCUAUUAUCUAGAAGAUACGAACUUUACUAAAUCAUGAAGAUACUACCGUAUGGAUGCAUAGCAUAUUGCAUGGUCACCGGCCUGCUGCGUCCGCCCGGGGCUUCUCAGCAGCGUGUUGACACUGUCAAAGCGCCCAAUCCCGGGGCCGGUGAGACGCCGCCGGGGGGCGUGUUUACCUUUCAUCGAGAGGCUGUUUGCGCCGCGGGACUUGUCGCCUACGACGUGCAACACCCAUUAACCGGAGAGUUUCGCCGAGCGCCUGGUGAGCCGCCGCGGACACAGCUGCAGAGCAUGGGCAUAGCAUAGCUGCCGAAGGUGACACAUUCGCGCGUUGCUGUAUAAAGACCACCACAGUGGAAAA